rnacentral:rRNA from 1 species
UCUAGAAGACAUCUGAAGGAGAUUAAAGAUUUAUCGGUGAUGGAUGGGGAUGCGUCUGAUUAGCUUGUUGGCGGGGUAACGGCCCACCAAGGCGACGAUCAGUAGGGGUUCUGAGAGGAAGGUCCCCCACAUUGGAACUGAGACACGGUCCAAACUCCUACGGGAGGCAGCAGUGAGGAAUAUUGGUCAAUGGGCGAGAGCCUGAACCAGCCAAGUAGCGUGCAGGAUGACGGCCCUAUGGGUUGUAAACUGCUUUUAUAAGGGAAUAAAGUGAGCCUCGUGAGGCUUUUUGCAUGUACCUUAUGAAUAAGGACCGGCUAAUUCCGUGCCAGCAGCCGCGGUAAUACGGAAGGUCCGGGCGUUAUCCGGAUUUAUUGGGUUUAAAGGGAGCGUAGGCCGGAGAUUAAGCGUGUUGUGAAAUGUAGAUGCUCAACGUCUGCACUGCAGCGCGAACUGGUUUCCUUGAGUACGCACAAAGUGGGCGGAAUUCGUGGUGUAGCGGUGAAAUGCUUAGAUAUCACGAAGAACUCCGAUUGCGAAGGCAGCUCACUGGAGCGCAACUGACGCUGAGGCUCGAAAGUGCGGGUAUCGAACAGGAUUAGAUACCCUGGUAGUCCGCACGGUAAACGAUGGAUGCCCGCUGUUGGUCUGAAUAGGUCAGCGGCCAAGCGAAAGCAUUAAGCAUCCCACCUGGGGAGUACGCCGGCAACA